GACGAACGCUGGCGGCGUGCUUAACACAUGCAAGUCGAACGGAAAGGCCUCAGCUUGCUGGGGUACUCGAGUGGCGAACGGGUGAGUAACACGUGGGUGAUCUGCCUUGCACUCUGGGAUAAGCUUGGGAAACUGGGUCUAAUACCGGAUAUGAACUGCCUUUAGUGUGGUGGUUGGAAAGUUUUUUCGGUGCAGGAUGAGCUCGCGGCCUAUCAGCUUGUUGGUGGGGUAAUGGCCUACCAAGGCGUCGACGGGUAGCCGGCCUGAGAGGGUGUACGGCCACAUUGGGACUGAGAUACGGCCCAGACUCCUACGGGAGGCAGCAGUGGGGAAUAUUGCACAAUGGGCGGAAGCCUGAUGCAGCGACGCCGCGUGGGGGAUGACGGCCUUCGGGUUGUAAACUCCUUUCGACAGGGACGAAGCUUUUUGUGACGGUACCUGUAUAAGAAGCACCGGCUAACUACGUG
rnacentral:rRNA from 1 species